AGAAAGAAAGAAAGAAAGAAAGAAAGAAAGAAAGAGAGAAGAAGAAGCAACAACCGCAGCCACGCACCCCUGCUUCCCCUGCUUCCGGCCAGCCCACCCGCCGCCCGUCGCUGCUCUCCGGUCAACAACCAACUCUGCCCCACUUCCGGCCAGAGUCCACCGCCGCCUCCCACCCGAGCCACCACCGCUGCCAGGAGACGACGCUGCCAGCGUCCCACUCCGCCGCAGCCCUGCUCC
rnacentral:lncRNA from 1 species